CGGUUAAGUCCGCUAACGAGCGCAACCCUCGUCGUGUGUUAUACGUGUCACACGAUACUGCCGGUAUCCAAGCCGGAGGAAGUGGGGAUGAUGUCAAGUCAGCAUGGCCUUUAUAUCCUGGGCUACACACACGCUACAAUGGCCAACACAAUAGGUUGCUAAGCCGCGAGGUGGCGCCAAUCCAUAAAGUUGGUCUCAGUUCAGAUUGUAGGCUGCAACCCGCCUGCAUGAAGAUGGAGUUGCUAGUAACCGCAGGUCAGCUAUACUGCGGUGAAUACGUUCCCGGGGCUU
rnacentral:rRNA from 1 species